CUGCAGGUGCUGGAGAUCACAGUCAAGAUUGGAGUGGUGCUGGAAAAGCACAGCAGGUCAGGCAGCAUCCGAGGAGCAGGAAAUUCGAUGUUUCAGGGAGGAGCCCUUCAUCAGGAAUGUGUUAAUGUAUACGUCUGAACAGAUACACUACUAGCAUAAUGUUUGAGGAGUCAAGCCUGGCAUUUGAUCCAUGUUAUACUUGGCUAGGAAAUGCAAAGGGAUCAAAUGCAAAAACCUUAAGUCUGGUGAUAUUUCAUGGGGAAGACUGAGGAGAAUUGUGAGAAGCCACAGCAAAUGGUAUGGAUCAUGGCCAAAGAUGGAAGAAGUUCAAAAGAUAUCCUGUUUGCUCACUGUCAACACUUGGAAGCUUCCGCAUAACCGCAUCCGCAAAGUGGAAUUGAAGAUCACGGAUAGAGGACAGGCAGCUGUGGGUUCAUCAUCGAGAGUGCGGUGCUGGAAAAGCACAGCAGGUCAGGCAGCAUCCGAGGAGCAGGAGAAUCGAUGUUUCAGGCAUAAGCCCUUCAUCGCUGUGGGUUCGUGCCCAGAAACAAAUAUUAAAUUCAAUAUUUAAGAUUUAUUUCUGUUAAUCUUUCAACAGCAUCAGAAAUCAUUAUAAACUUUCUUCUGCUUCUUUAAAAAAUAAAUAUAUUUAGUUACUUCUCAGCUUUGAACAGAACUGACCAUAUGGACAUCUCCCAAGAAGACCAAAUAUCAGAAAGUACGUCAGGAACUCAAAUUACAACUCUUUUAACCACAACUGAAUAAAACAGUUCAGUGAAUGAUGUGGUCCAAAUACACAGGCCUGUUCAGUGAAUCCAAAAGUAGACCAGAAAAUGUCCUUUCCCUGGGGGAGCUUUGAGUCCUAAAACAACUAAGGGUGGCUCUUGAACUUGGGGAGAGAGUAGUGAAGUUGUGUGUGGAGAAAUUGCAGAAGGAAGACACACUGUGACUGAAAGCAUUUUCUGCUGAUUACAGAUUUCCAACUGGUGCAGGAUACCUCCUGCAUUUCGUUACAUGGGCCUUUUAUGAAGUGUUUCACAACAUUUUAAGCUACGUUGUCAAAAACACAAUUAUUCACUUUUGCUUUUGUUAUCCUCAGUCUUUCAGCACUCAUUGC